rnacentral:lncRNA from 1 species
UUGAACAUCAAGUGUAUUUAUGAACAGCGAGUAUCUUCAUGUAAACAGUUCUAGAUGGAAGACCCAGAUGGCACUCUUCUGGGGGAGGGGUUCCAGCCCCCCACCCCACCCCACCCCAAUCAGCCCCAUCCCCUCACAGCUCAACUCCCCAGUACACAUUGGGGGAGGGGAGGGAGGGGCAAAUGCAGCUCCCAGGUGUAUUUUUUCUUCAAGUGUCAAAGAUCCCCAAGUGAUCCCAACACCCACCCCUUCCUACUCUUACAUUCAUGCGUCUGUAAGAUAGCUGCCUAGAACAGGUCAGUAGUGAAGCUCUGAUCAAAACAAAAACAAAAACAAAAACCAAAGGUACAAAAACAAAGAACACAUUUGGCCCCUUCAGACCAUGAGAUACACACAACCGCCUUGUCCUCCCCCCUCCCACCAGGGCUGCUACCAGGAGCACACAACCCCUUGCAAAGGCCAGUGCAGCCCAGCUGCUCACCUGGCUGUCACACCACUGUUGUCUUAACUGUCAGUAACGAUAAAAAUAAUAAGGUACAUGCUACAUACACAUCCAGCCAGAAGCCCAGUUGGCCCCUAAGCCUUUGUUUCAUGCUACAGUACUGAGGGGCAUAGGCCCCCAACCGGGAGCUACCUGCACACCUCAGUGAGCUUCCUAGGAAACACAAUGUUCCCCCCACCUCCACCUUCCUCCCCUCAGGUGGCUGUUGUCAGUUUGCUAACGACAGGCGUCAAUCCCUCAGCUCCUGCCUGCCAACCUCCAUCUCAAAAUCAAAAGUUGAGUGGUCUCUGGCGUGGGGGCAGGGUAGGCCCCCCCCAGGCUCAAGUUCAACACUCCUCAAUGAGCAGCUGCUCGGAGCUAUACAGCUUUUUCUUGAUGACUCGGAAGCCCGUGCUCAGCGUCAGGGACUGGCUGAAACCGGGGACGAAGGGAGAGUUGGCAGAGCUGAACAGCCCCUGGAUCUUAGGCCAGAGGCGUGAGUCCAGGCGCAGCACGAGGGUCAGCUGGAAAGUGGGCACCAGGCUGGGGUCGAGGGCCAGCUGGCCGACGCUGUGGCAGCUCUUGCCUUGCUCUACGCAGACGUCCAGCAGCGCCCCCCGC